AUUGAACGCUGGCGGCAGGCCUAACACAUGCAAGUCGAACGGUAACAGGAAACAGCUUGCUGUUCGCUGACGAGUGGCGGACGGGUGAGUAAUGUCUGGGAAACUGCCUGAUGGAGGGGGAUAACUACUGGAAACGGUAGCUAAUACCGCAUAACGUCGCAAGACCAAAGAGGGGGACCCUCGGGCCUCUUGCCAUCGGAUGUGCCCAGAUGGGAUUAGCUUGUUGGUGGGGUAACGGCUCACCAAGGCGACGAUCCCUAGCUGGUCUGAGAGGAUGACCAGCCACACUGGAACUGAGACACGGUCCAGACUCCUACGGGAGGCAGCAGUGGGGAAUAUUGCACAAUGGGCGCAAGCCUGAUGCAGCCAUGCCGCGUGUAUGAAGAAGGCCUUCGGGUUGUAAAGUACUUUCAGCGGGGAGGAAGGGAGUAAAGUUAAUACCUUUGCUCAUUGACGUUACCCGCAGAAGAAGCACCGGCUAACUCCGUGCCAGCAGCCGCGGUAAUACGGAGGGUGCAAGCGUUAAUCGGAAUUACUGGGCGUAAAGCGCACGCAGGCGGUUUGUUAAGUCAGAUGUGAAAUCCCCGGGCUCAACCUGGGAACUGCAUCUGAUACUGGCAAGCUUGAGUCUCGUAGAGGGGGGUAGAAUUCCAGGUGUAGCGGUGAAAUGCGUAGAGAUCUGGAGGAAUACCGGUGGCGAAGGCGGCCCCCUGGACGAAGACUGACGCUCAGGUGCGAAAGCGUGGGGAGCAAACAGG
rnacentral:rRNA from 1 species